UGGGGAAUAUUGCGCAAUGGGGGCAACCCUGACGCAGCGACGCCGUGUGAGGGAAGAAGGCUUUCGGGUCGUAAACCUCUGUCGGGAAGGAAGAACCCCCCGGGUCCGAACAGGAUUCGGGGCUGACGGUACUUCCAGAGGAAGCACCGGCUAACUCCGUGCCAGCAGCCGCGGUAAUACGGAGGGUGCAAGCGUUAAUCGGAAUCACUGGGCGUAAAGCGCGUGUAGGCGGCUUUUUAAGUCGGACGUGAAAGCCCUCGGCUCAACCGGGGAAUUGCGUUCGAUACUGGGAGGCUUGAGUCCUGGAGAGGGUGGCGGAAUUCCGGGUGUAGGAGUGAAAUCCGUAGAUAUCCGGAGGAACACCGGUGGCGAAGGCGGCCACCUGGACAGGUACUGACGCUGAGACGCGAAAGCGUGGGUAGCAAACAG
rnacentral:rRNA from 1 species